rnacentral:rRNA from 1 species
AUUGAACGCUGGCGGCAGGCCUAACACAUGCAAGUCGAACGGUAACAGGAAGCAGCUUGCUGCUUCGCUGACGAGUGGCGGACGGGUGAGUAAUGUCUGGGAAGCUGCCUGAUGGAGGGGGAUAACUACUGGAAACGGUAGCUAAUACCGCAUAAUGUCGCAAGACCAAAGAGGGGGACCUUCGGGCCUCUUGCCAUCGGAUGUGCCCAGAUGGGAUUAGCUUGUUGGUGGGGUAACGGCUCACCAAGGCGACGAUCCCUAGCUGGUCUGAGAGGAUGACCAGCCACACUGGGACUGAGACACGGUCCAGACUCCUACGGGAGGCAGCAGAGGGGAAUAUUGCACAAUGGGCGCAAGCCUGAUGCAGCCAUGCCGCGUGUAUGAAGAAGGCCUUCGGGUUGUAAAGUACUUUCAGCGGGGAGGAAGGGAGUAAAGUUAAUACCUUUGCUCAUUGACGUUACCCGCAGAAGAAGCACCGGCUAACUCCGUG